UACGUAGGGGGGCAAGCGUUUGUCCGGAUUUAUUGGGCGUAAAGAGCGUGUAGGCGGCCAUGCAGGUCCGCUGUGAAAACUCGAGGCUCAACCUCGAGAUGUCGGUGGAAACCGUAUGGCUAGAGUCCGGAAGAGGAGAGUGGAAUUCCUGGUGUAGCGGUGAAAUGCGCAGAUAUCGGGAGGAACACCUAUGGCGAAGGCAGCUCGCUGGGACGGUACUGACGCUGAGACGCGAAAGCUAGGGGAGCGAAUGGG
rnacentral:rRNA from 1 species